CGCUAGCGGCAGGCCUAACACAUGCAAGUCGAACGGGUGUUUCUUUGUACUCCAGCAAUGGUGUGCACUGAAAUACCAGUGGCAGACGGGUGCGUAACGCAUGGGAAUCUACCUAGUAGUACGGAAUAGUUGCUGGAAACGGCAAGUAAUACCGCAUACGCCCUGAGGGGGAAAGAUUUAUCGCUAUUAGAUGAGCCCAUGUCGGAUUAGCUAGUUGGUAGGGUAAAGGCCUACCAAGGCGACGAUCCAUAGCUGGCCUGAGAGGGUGAUCAGCCACACUGGAACUGAGAUACGGUCCAGACUCCUACGGGAGGCAGCAGUGGGGAAUAUUGGGCAAUGGGCGAAAGCCUGACCCAGCCAUGCCGCAUGAGUGAAGAAGGCCUUCGGGUUGUAAAGCUCUUUCAGCGGGGAAGAUAAUGACGGUACCCGCAGAAGAAGUCCUGGCUAACUCCGUGCCAGCAGCCGCGGUAAUACGGAGAGGGCGAGCGUUGUUCGGAAUCAUUGGGCGUAAAGGGCGCGUAGGCGGUCUAGUAAGUUGUGGGUGAAAUCCCGAGGCUUACCUCGGGGCUGCUCUCAAUACUGCUUGACUAGAGUGUAAAGUAGGGUAGCGGAAUUCCUAGUGUAGAGGUGAAUUCGUAGAUAUUAGGAGGACACCAGAGGCGAAGGCGGCUACCUGGGUUACCACUGAC
rnacentral:rRNA from 1 species